rnacentral:rRNA from 1 species
CCUACGGGGCGCAGCAGUGGGGAAUAUUGGACAAUGGGCGAAAGCCUGAUCCAGCCAUGCCGCGUGUGUGAAGAAGGCCUUCGGGUUGUAAAGCACUUUCAGUGGGGAAGAAAGCCUUGGGGCUAAUACCCUCGAGGAAGGACAUCACCCACAGAAGAAGCACCGGCUAACUCCGUGCCAGCAGCCGCGGUAAUACGGAGGGUGCGAGCGUUAAUCGGAAUUACUGGGCGUAAAGCGCGCGUAGGCGGUCUGAUAAGCCGGUUGUGAAAGCCCCGGGCUCAACCUGGGAACGGCAUCCGGAACUGUCAGGCUAGAGUGCAGGAGAGGAAGGUAGAAUUCCCGGUGUAGCGGUGAAAUGCGUAGAGAUCGGGAGGAAUACCAGUGGCGAAGGCGGCCUUCUGGACUGUCACUGACGCUGAGGUGCGAAAGCGUGGGUAGCAAACAGGAUUAGAUACCCCAGUAGUC